GAUGAACGCUAGCGGCAGGCUUAAUACAUGCAAGUCGAGGGGCAGCAGCUUUGUAGCAAUACAGAGGCCGGCGACCGGCAAACGGGUGCGGAACACGUACAGAACCUUCCUUUCAGCGGGGAAUAGCCCGGGGAAACCCGGAUUAAUACCCCAUAGUAUGGUGGAGAGGCAUCUCUCUAUUAUUAAAGAUUUAUCACUGAAAGAUGGCUGUGCGGCUGAUUAGAAGUUGGCGGGGUAACGGGCCCACCAAGUCUGCGAUCAGUAACUGGUGUGAGAGCACGACCAGUCACACGGGCACUGAGGACACGGGCCCGACUCCUACGGGAGGCAGCAGUAAGGAAUAUUGGUCAAU
rnacentral:rRNA from 1 species